GACGUAGGUGGCAAGCGUUGUCCGGAGUUAUUGGGCGUAAAGCGCGCGCAGGCGGUUCGGUAAGUCCAUGGUGAAAGCGCCCGGCUCAACUGGGCGAGUGCCGUGGGGACUGCCGAGCUGGAGGGGAGCAGAGGCGAGUGGAAUUCCGGGUGUAGUGGUGAAAUGCGUAGAGACCCGGAGGAACACCAGUGGCGAAGGCGGCUUCCUGGUCUGCGACUGACGCUGUGGCGCGAAAGCUAGGGGAGCGAACGGG
rnacentral:rRNA from 1 species